rnacentral:rRNA from 1 species
GACGAACGCUGGCGGCGUGCCUAAUACAUGCAAGUAGGACGCUGAAGGAGGAGCUUGCUUCUCUGGAUGAGUUGCGAACGGGUGAGUAACGCGUAGGUAACCUGCCUGGUAGCGGGGGAUAACUAUUGGAAACGAUAGCUAAUACCGCAUAAUAGUAGAUGUUGCAUGACAUUUGCUUAAAAGGUGCAAUUGCAUCACUACCAGAUGGACCUGCGUUGUAUUAGCUAGUUGGUGGGGUAACGGCUCACCAAGGCGACGAUACAUAGCCGACCUGGGAGGGUGAUCGGCCACACUGGGACUGGGACACGGCCCAGACUCCUACGGGAGGCAGCAGUAGGGAAUCUUCGGCAAUGGACGGAAGUCUGACCGAGCAACGCCGCGUGAGUGAAGAAGGGUUUCGGAUCGUAAAGCUCUGUUGUAAGAGAAGAACGAGUGUGAGAGUGGAAAGUUCACACUGUGACGGUAUCUUACCAGAAAGGGACGGCUAACUACGUG